CGCCUCUUGCAAAAUAAAUGAAUAAGAGGUCCCGCCUGCCCUGUGACUAUAUGUUCAACGGCCGCGGUAUUUUGACCGUGCGAAGGUAGCGCAAUCACUUGUCUUUUAAAUGAAGACCUGUAUGAAUGGCAUCACGAGGGCUUAGCUGUCUCCCCCUCCCAGUCAAUGAAAUUGAUUUUCCCGUGCAGAAGCGGGAAUAAGAACAUAAGACGAGAAGACCCUAUGGAGCUUAAGACGCCAGGACAGCUCAUGUUAAACACCCCAGAACAAAGGGAAUAAACUUAGUGAAACCCUGCCCUAGUGUCUUUGGUUGGGGCGACCACGGGGAAAAACUUAACCCCCAUGCGGAAUAGGAAUACUAUUUUCCUAGACUCAAGAGCUCCCGCUCUAAUAGACAGAAUUUCUGACCAAAAGGAUCCGGCAAUGCCGAUCAACGGACCGAGUUACCCUAGGGAUAACAGCGCAAUCCUCUUUAAGAGUCCCUAUCGACAAGAGGGUUUACGACCUCGAUGUUGGAUCAGGACAUCCUAAUGGUGCAGCCGCUAUUAAGGGUUCGUUUGUUCAACGAUUAAAGUCC
rnacentral:rRNA from 1 species